rnacentral:rRNA from 1 species
ACUGAACGCUGGCGGCAGGCCUAACACAUGCAAGUCGAGCGGAUGAAGGGAGCUUACUCCUGGAUUCAGCGGCGGACGGGUGAGUAAUGCCUAGGAAUCUGCCUGGUAGUGGGGGAUAACGUCCGGAAACGGGCGCUAAUACCGCAUACGUCCUGAGGGAGAAAGUGGGGGAUCUUCGGACCUCACGCUAUCAGAUGAGCCUAGGUCGGAUUAGCUAGUUGGUGGGGUAAAGGCCUACCAAGGCGACGAUCCGUAACUGGUCUGAGAGGAUGAUCAGUCACACUGGAACUGAGACACGGUCCAGACUCCUACGGGAGGCAGCAGUGGGGAAUAUUGGACAAUGGGCGAAAGCCUGAUCCAGCCAUGCCGCGUGUGUGAAGAAGGUCUUCGGAUUGUAAAGCACUUUAAGUUGGGAGGAAGGGCAGUAAGUUAAUACCUUGCUGUUUUGACGUUACCAACAGAAUAAGCACCGGCUAACUUCGUG